rnacentral:rRNA from 1 species
UACAGAGGUGGCAAGCGUUGUUCGGAAUUACUGGGCGUAAAGCGUGCGCAGGCGGUUCGUUGUGUCGGCGGUGAAAGCCCCGGGCUUAACCUGGGAACGGCCGUUGAAACUGGCGAACUGGAGUGUGGCAGAGGGGGGUGGAAUUCCGCGUGUAGCAGUGAAAUGCGUAGAGAUGCGGAGGAACACCGAUGGCGAAGGCAGCCCCCUGGGCUAACACUGACGCUCAGGCACGAAAGCGUGGGGAGCAAACAGG